CUGAUGUAUUCAAUUAACAGGAACCCUUAACACAUUAAAUACCAUGAUCGCGAGAACCCAUUACCCACUAGGUGGGUUCGUUUUGUAUUAGAAAUGGGGCGUUUGACACUGAAAAAUGAAAGUGUUAACUGAACAUAAUAAGCUUUACGAACAGAAAAAGCAGUGAUGUUUAUAAAAUCGAAACUCAAGAUUUGCCAGCGAGCGAAGGCGCGUGGUAUAUUAGGUGUUCGUAGAACUGAUCGAAUCAGAAACACAGAAUUACGCUAUAGAACUCGAGUAGUAGAUGUAGGUGUCAAAACCGCUAAGCUCAAGUGGGACUGGGCUGGACAUGCCUGCCGCGUGCGCCCGGGAAGGUGGGGCAAAAUGGUUACUGAGUGGGACCCACGGAACACCGUAGAUGAUGCAGGACGGGGCACAGGCAGACCGAAAAGGAGAUGGCAGGACGACUUGGACACAUUCUAUGCAAAACGGUGGGAAAAUGCCAAUGACAGGCAAGUGGAGAAAACGAGGGGAGGUCUUUGUCUAGCAGUGGGACGCUAAACUCUUCGACCUUAAAUACAUGAAUGUUCCGUUUAAAUAUAUUUAAGACAUUUGUGUACAGUUUUAUGGCAUUAUUCAAAUGUACGCGUACUUUGACUCGUAAUGUGAUGUUAUUAAAGGUUAGAUUUGACAAAUCUGCGCGUCAUCGUGGAUGACACGAACUAACAAACCAUUGGUAAUCGUUUGACCCUAUCCGUCGAUAUGACAUUUCCGUUUGUUAGAAAGAUACAAUAUUUUAACAGAGGUUUGUAAAAGGUUCUUACGUUUUAAUGAAUAACGGGGUUAUUCUUUACAGGGAAUCUAUACAUUUCGAUACUAAAAAGGUAAAUUGUUUACAAUUUGCAUCACGCGUCUUUUUAAAAUUCGCGGCAUGCUCAUGACAAACGUCCCAAGCUAAGUAUCUCCGAGGCUUUUGGCUGUAACAUGUGACUUGGUACGACAAGGUCCCAUCUCACUGCGAACGUCUCGGCGAGAUGGGAUUUUAUUUAAGAGAAACUGUGAUAAAUCUUUACGCGGUUUACAGCGGCUUAUCUUAAAAGUGUCUCAGUCUUGAUGUCUAUAUGAAAGUUACACGCGGUGGCUAUUAGGGUUGUCAAUUGCAAGACUCGGAAACCGGUUAAAUUUCCAAACCGUUAUCAUGUACUUGGGGCAAAACCUUUUAAUUUCGGUUUUGUUCGUUAAACCGGGUUUUAGGAGAACAUCAAUAAAGUUUUUGUCAGACUAACCGGCUUAGAAAAGUAAAAGCCGGUUUCUUCCUAUGUCGGUGUCUUUGUGUACGCGGCACACCACCAGGCCGGCCGGGCUCGUCGCUCAUCAAAUAAAUCAGUUUAUUUGGGUAACAAUAAAGUUCCUAAAACGCUCGCGUUCUUAUGAAAUUUGGGAGCAAAACCAAAAUAAACCGGUAUUUACCGCUACUUUUAAAAACGUUUAUUUUUAAGCACCUUAAUAAAAAAAGUACUUUUAUUAAAAAGAAAAUGGUACUCACACGAUUUAGGCACCGUGACGCAAGGGUCGGGGUCGUGCUGGGUGGAUGCUAUCUGCCACGACCACGCAUUAUCAAUUCUCAAGCCAACCAAAUUCAUCCCAAUGUACUAUACAAAAGUGUUCAAAUUAAAAAAAGGAAAAUAUUGUAUGGUGGCCCUCACGAGGUUCUUCUUCCUUGUCACCCUCAUGGCUGAAGGACGUGACUGUGGACGCUUCACCAGUGCUCUCCAAGCCGCUCUAUCUUGGGCCAAGUGUAUUCUGUCCGCCCAACGCAUAGCCAUAAGUCCAUCCCUACGCUUCCUUGGCAUGUGGCCAGUAAUUAUGUGCUUUUCCAGACUAUCUGGUCCUGUUACGAGGUUACGAGGCUUAUUAAAUUGACAACCCUACCUCAAAGUACAUUACAGGUGUAUGGAGGUGUGUAUCUUAGCCCUGAAUGGCUGUCAAUCAAACGGAUGGCAUAACAUGCAAAACGAAGAUGGAUCACUUUUGAUCUUACACUCGCUUAUAGGUAAGCCAUGUCGAAUCUUUAGGCCGUACUCGACGUGUUCUGAUGACAGUUCGUGACAUCCCAUUCUUCACCCAUUCGAUUAGUACAAUUGGAGAGGCGAUCGGUCAUAUAAUUUUAGAAAAAGGAGACGUCUGUAGACAACACAAAAAGAGGUUAACACGGGUACAUGUAAAUCACGUUUUCUUAUUUGAGUCUCAAGCGCUGAAAAA